AGUGGAUGAGGAGCAACCUAGUUGUGCGUGUGUAAAGGUAGUGCCAAGAAAAGCGAUGAUCAUGUUGAAAAUCAAUUCCCGGUACCCGAAACCGACACAGGUGGGCAAGUAGAGAAUACUAAGGGGCGCGAGGUAACUCUCUCCAAGGAACUCGGCAAAAUGACCCCGUAACUUAGGGAGAAGGGGUGCCACCGAGAGGUGGUCGCAGUGAAGAGGCCCAGGCGACUGUUUAGCAAAAACAUAGGUCUCUGCAAACUCGAAAGAGGAGGUAUAGGGGCUGACGCCUGCCCAGUGCCGGAAGGUUAAAGAAGUUGGUCAGUUUUAGGAUGAAGCUAGCGACUGAAGCCCCGGUGAACGGCGGCCGUAACUAUAACGGUCCUAAGGUAGCGAAAUUCCUUGUCGGGUAAGUUCCGACCCGCACGAAAGGCGUAACGAUCUGGGCGCUGUCUCGGAGAGAGGCUCGGCGAUAUAGGAUUGUCUGUGAAGAUACGGACUACCUGCAUUUGGACAGAAAGACCCUAUGAAGCUUUACUAUAGCUUGGAAUUGUGUUCGGGCUUCCUGUGCGCAGGAUAGGUGGGAGGCGUAGAAGGUAUUCUUGUGGGGAUACUGGAGCCAUCGGUGAGAUACCACUCUCAGGAGGCUAGAAUUCUAACUUAAUUAAGGACAGUUUCAGGUGGGUAGUUUGACUGGGGCGGUCGCCUCCAAAAAGGUAACGGAGGCGUACAAAGGUUCCCUCAGACUGGUUGGAAAUCAGUCGGAGAGUGCAAAGGCAGAAGGGAGCUUGACUGCGAGAAGUACAGUUCGAGCAGGGUGGAAACACGGUCUUAGUGAUCCGACGGUGCUGUGUGGAAGGGCCGUCGCUCAACGGAUAAAAGUUACUCUAGGAUAACAGGCUGAUCUCCCCCAAGAGUUCACAUCGACGGGGAGGUUUGGCACCUCGAUGUCGGCUCAUCGCAACCUGGGGCGGAAGUACGUCCCAAGGGUUGGGCUGUUCGCCCAUUAAAGCGGUACGUGAGCUGGGUUCAGAACGUCGUGAGACAGUUCGGUCCAUAUCCGAUGUAGGCGUGAGAAUAUUGAGAGGAGCCUUCCUUAGUACGAGAGGACCGGGAGGGACGCACCGCUGGUGUACCUGUUAUGAUGCCAAUUGUAAACGCAGGGUAGCCAAGUGCGGAGAGGAUAACCGCUGAAAGCAUCUAAGUGGGAAGCCCACCUCAAGAUGAGUAUUCUGGUGUAAGGUCACGGGAAGACGACCCGUAAAUAGGCACGAGGUGGAAGUGCAGAGAUGUAUGAAGCCGAAGUGUACUAAUAGACCGUCGGCUUGACC
rnacentral:rRNA from 1 species